GACGAACGCUGGCGGCGUGCUUAACACAUGCAAGUCGAGCAGUAAGGCCCUUUCGGGGGUACGACGAGCGGCGAACGGGUGAGUAACACGUGGGUGACCUGCCCUCAGCUCUGGGAUAAGCCUGGGAAACCGGGUCUAAUACUGGAUAUGACUCCAUGACGCAUGUUGUGGGGUGGAAAGCCUUGUGCGGCUGAGGAUGGGCCCGCGGCCUAUCAGCUUGUUGGUGGGGUGAUGGCCUACCAAGGCGACGACGGGUAGCCGGCCUGAGAGGGCGACCGGCCACACUGGGACUGAGACACGGCCCAGACUCCUACGGGAGGCAGCAGUGGGGAAUCUUGCGCAAUGGGCGAAAGCCUGACGCAGCGACGCCGCGUGAGGGAUGACGG
rnacentral:rRNA from 1 species